AUGCAGUCGAGCGGUAACAGAGAGUAGCUUGCUACUCUGCUGACGAGCGGCGGACGGGUGAGUAAUGCUUGGGAAUGUACCUUAUGGUGGGGGACAACAGUUGGAAACGACUGCUAAUACCGCAUAAUGUCUUCGGACCAAAGCGGGGGACCUUCGGGCCUCGCGCCAUAAGAUCAGCCCAAGUGGGAUUAGCUAGUUGGUGAGGUAAUGGCUCACCAAGGCGACGAUCCCUAGCUGGUUUGAGAGGAUGAUCAGCCACACUGGGACUGAGACACGGCCCAGACUCCUACGGGAGGCAGCAGUGGGGAAUAUUGCACAAUGGGCGCAAGCCUGAUGCAGCCAUGCCGCGUGUGUGAAGAAGGCCUUCGGGUUGUAAAGCACUUUCAGUAAGGAGGAAAGGUUGGAUGUUAAUAGCAUUCAGCUGUGACGUUACUUACAGAAGAAGCACCGGCUAACUCCGUGCCAGCAGCCGCGGUAAUACGGAGGGUGCGAGCGUUAAUCGGAAUUACUGGGCGUAAAGCGUACGCGGGCGGUUUGUUAAGCGAGAUGUGAAAACCCCGGGCUCAACCUGGGAACUG
rnacentral:rRNA from 1 species